UACAGAGGCCCCAAGCGUUACUAAGAAUCACUGGGUUUAAAGGGUGCGUAGGUGGCGCGUUAAGUCCGUUGUGAAAGCCCUGGGCUCAACCCAGGAACUGCUUCGGAUACUGGCGCGCUUGAGGCUAGUAGGGGUCACUGGAACUGACGGUGGAGCGGUGAAAUGCGUAGAUAUCGUCAGGAACGCCAAUGGUGAAGACAGGUGACUGGGCUAGUUCUGACACUGAGACACGAAAGCGUGGGGAGCGAACGGG
rnacentral:rRNA from 1 species